AUGGGCUGAGCUCAGUGGCAGGGGAGCCCUCGCAAUGCCAGAGGGAAUAGAGCCGUAUGGUGCACGAUACCUAAUGCGAGAGAAAAGGAGCUGAGCUCGGGGUACUGUUUGAUGAGUGUGAAAGGAUGCUUCACUGAUUUCCAUAUUGAUUUUGGAGGCACUUCAGUGUGGUAUCACGUUUUCCGUGGGGGGAAGAUCUUCUGGCUGAUUCCACCUACUCUGCAGAAUCUAGAACUUUAUGAAGAAUGGGUUCUCUCAGGAAAGCAAAGUGAUAUCUUUCUGGGAGACAGAGUGGAACGAUGCCAAAGAAUUGAACUGAAACAAGGCUAUACAUUCUUCAUUCCUUCAGGAUACAUGCGGUUUAUACUCCAGUAGAUUCUCUGGUGUUUGGUGGAAAUAUCCUGCAUAGCUUUAAUGUUCCCAUGCAGCUUCGCAUCUAUGAAAUUGAGGACAGAACAAGGGCAUGUGGCUGAAAACCUUUUGAAGGCUGAGGGGUGGAAGGCGGCUUCCUGUUUUUUGUGCAUGCCAAAUUCCGUUAUCCUUUCUACUAUGAAAUGUGCUGGUAUGUUCUGGAGAGAUACGUGUCCUGUGUGACCCAGCGCUGCCACCUCAGCAAAGAGUACCAGAAAGAAUCAAUGUUAAUUGAUGCAAAGAGAAAACGCAGCAUAGACAGCUAUUCAUCGGAUUCGUGGUUAGACAUGGAUGAAGAAUCUUGUGAUGCUCAUAUCCGGGAGGAAAAGGAUGACAGCUUGGAUAAGAACUCCAAAUCCCUGGUGGAUGGCUCCUCCUCACCCAACAGCACACAUUCAGAAGGAAAGGAGGGUGCAGGGAGAAAACAAAAAGCCACAGUAAUGAGGUACCUAAAAAGAACUUUGUCUAAUGAGUCAGAUGACAGUGUAAAAUCAACGACCCCCACGGAUUAUCCCAAAACACCAACGGGGUCUCCAGCUACAGAAGUUUCAACCAAAUGGACUCACCUCACAGAAUUUGAACUGAAGGGUUUAAAAGCCCUGGUGGAAAAGCUUGAAUCUCUCCCAGAGAACAAGAAGUGUGUUCCAGAAGGCAUUGAGGAUCCACAGGCUCUCCUGGAGGACAUGAAGAACAUUCUGAAAGAACAUGCUGAUGAUGACCAAAAUCUUGCGAUUUCGGGUGUCCCUGUGGUCAGCUGGCCCAAGAAGACCCUCAGAUCUGUUCCUUCAUAUCAGAAAUACACUCCGUGCCCCAUUCAUGAUGGAUUCUGAGGAAUUGGAGUGAGAUGUCCCAUUUGCCCUCUGUGCUGUCGGUGUUUCUGUUACAUCCCUGUUACUGCUUCUCGGUCUCUUUUUCUAUACUCUCAAACUGGAAAGCAGUAAACUUUGGUCUUUUCC
rnacentral:lncRNA from 7 species